CUUCGUGAUCGGCAUACACGCGAGCCCUGAAUCGGCACGCGUGGAGGUGGACAAGCUAGCGGACGUGUACGCCGAUGCCAUCGCUCGAGUUCCGGACAUCACGGAUAGCAUUAUAAUGGGCGACUUCAAUGCAGACUGCGACUACAUAUGCGCAAGCUGCUUUGACGCCCUGCGUCUUUGGACAGAGAGUGAACGGUACGACUGGGUGAUUCCACACACGUUCGACACGACAACACGUGUAUCAAACAGACUGCGCGCUACGACAGAUUUGUUCUCACGGUGACAGUAUGAAGAGCAGUUUUGUCGCUCCAGCUGCCAUAUACGACUUCCAAACAGAAUACAAUCUCAAUAAAACAUUUACAGAAGACGUGAGCGACCACUAUCCCAUCGUAAUGACGGUGCGUGAUGUUUGCACGGCCGCCCUGUACAUCACGGCCUGGCACAUACCGACUUUUGGCAACAAGCGGAUGGAUGACGAGGCC